AGAGUGCUGGGAUUACAGGCAUGAGCCACCCCUUGCCCUGCCCAGCCAUUUACUUUUUAAAGAAGCUGUGGAUGGUUCAUCUUACUGAAGAAAAGUAGAAAAACUCACCACAAAUGUAUUCUCUGUUAACCUCUUUGGUACAAGCAUUGACUAUAGUCGACACCCACAGAUGAAUGUGCACAGCCGAGCAUUGACUAUAGUCGAUAGCCACGAAUGAGCGACUUUAGCCGACAGCCGUGAUAUGACUUUUCUAAUUUUUCAUUUAUCAAAAUAAAAUUGUGGGUCUUUCCUCCCGUGCCUGACGUGGUGUCUUGGGCCCUUCAUUCUUGGACAUUCCCUCGGCCCUUCCAGGGCUCGCCCAGAGGAAGGAGUGGAGAAGGUGCCCUGGUUGGCAUGGCCGGUGCCGAAGGGGGAGGGGGCUGAGCCCGUCCCGGCUGUGGGGAAGCGACAGGCCGGCUGGCGGGCUGAGGCUGAGCCUACUCGUUCAAGGUGGUAUUGCUGGGGGAAGGCUGUGUGGGGAAGAUGUUGCUGGUGCUGCGCUACUGCGGGAACAAGUUUAAGGACAAGCACAUCACCACUAUGCAGGCAUCAUUCUUAACAAAGAAGUUAAAUAUUGGCGGGAAAAGAGUAAACCUUGCCAUAUGGGAUACAGCAAGUCAAGAGAGAUUCCAUGCCUUUGGCCCAAUUUACUACAGAGAUUCAAAUGGAACUAUUUUAGUUUAUGACAUAACAGAUGAAGAUUCUUUUCAGAAGGUAAAAAACUGGGUCAAAGAAUUACAGAAAAUGUUGGGAAAUGAAAUCUGUUUAUGUAUAGUUGGUAAUAAAAUAGACUUGGAAAAGGAGAGAUAUGUUUCCAUUCAAGAGGCAGAAUCAUAUGCAGAAUCUAUGGGAGCAAAACAUUAUCAUACUUCAGCCAAACAGAACAAAGGAAUUGAGGAACUCUUUCUUGACCUUUGUAAAAGGAUGAUAGAAACACAGCACAAGUGGACGAGAGAGCAAAAGGCAAUGGCUCUAGUCAACCAGAAACUGCAAGGCGAGGUGUACAGAUUAUUGAUGAUGAACCUCAGAUGCAGAGUGGAGGUGGAGGGUGCUGUUCUUCUGGAUAACUGUUCACACCUAAGAAAUUAAAACAAAACUGGAUCAUUGCCCUCAACAUGAAGACUGCCAUAUUCCAAGUCACAUUAUUUUACCAACGGAGUUAUAGAAUUAGCAGUAUUUUAAAUUACAUUUAUAACACUGCAGAGACCUUAAGUGCUAAACUUAGUGGAGUUUGUGACCAGAGAAUUGGCAUUUUCUACAAAUGUUAACAAAGCAAUUACCAAUGGCCUUUUUACAUAUUUUUUUCUUUAAUGAGGAAUAAUAUGCAUGUAGAAAAGACCUACUUAAAGGCUUCAUUUAUAUUCUUUUAAAUCAAAUCUUUAUUUAAUAACUUACAUAUGUUGUGGGAAUGGUAUACAUUUUUGCAGCCCUUUGUAUUUUGUGGUAGUUUGAAUUGUAUCACUUCUAAACAGCAAACUGUUUUUUUUUUUUUUUUUUUUUUUAAUUAGCAGAUACCUGAAGUACUAUUUUUGCAGGGUUUGCACAGGCCCCUAACUGUCUACUACUUUGAUAUAAUCUAUAUACAUCCUGUAUGCUGAGCUGGUAAAAUAGAUUGUAAAUUACAUAUUAAAUAUUUUAUCUGCUUUUACAAGUGCAAAGUGCAAAAAUAUAUACAGUAGUUUCAUUGAUGACUGUAAAGUGAAUUAACAUUUGGUGAUAAUGCCUAAGCUUUUUGACUCUGAUAUAAAGAUCAUAGCUCCCCUUCACUUUUGUCUUAACUUGAAUGUGGCGUGUUUAAAUUUUCACACAUAUUUUACUUGAAUUAUUGCUGUUGUCACAUA